UGACAGGUCACAGAACAAUGGGAGCUAUCUACCCUUACCCACAAUUUAAACUUUGAAAAUCAUCUUGUGGUCUGUUCUCCUCGGGGGGGAUGGAGGUGGCUCAGUGGUGAUCACAUGACCUCAGUGUGAAAACUCAGUCAUGGAGACAUCAGGUAUCUUCUCCUCCCGGGAUACAAUAACCUGUAACCACAACAAACCUUAAAUCCUCCAUUGCGAAAUCAUGUUUUGUUGACGGAUAAUAUGAUUGUUCUUUUGGUUACUUCGGAUCUGCGACAAUAAAGGAAAAGCCAUAAUGUCUCCUCUUCAUCACUCCUCCUCUUCCUCACUGUUGACAUGUCUGAUCCUGACUGACUGUCUUCAUCUCCUCCUCUCUCUGACCCUCGUCGUGACCUCUGACCUCCUGCUUCUCCUCCUGCUGCUCCUCUGAGACUCCCUGAGGCCUGAUGAGAAGAAGAAGAAGAGAGUCUGAAGAAAGUAUUUACACUUCCAUCGCAGCUGAGUCUGAAUCCUCCUCUAAACUCCUGCUGGAUGUCUCUGUUUGUAGCCAGGUCUGUGGAUGCUAAUGGAUGCUAAUAGAUGCUAACUUCUGUCUAUCUGUCUAGACUGGAUUCAAAUGAAUUCUGGUUUAUGGUGCACGACACGUUGCCCUCAGGAUGAAUUGUAAAAUGUUGGUGAUCCUUUGACAUUUUUAACCCAGUACCAUAUUUAAGCACAAAAAAGAAUACCACCAACACCGAGGCAAUAGGCCAAACAACAACUAAGGGACUGCAGAUGAAAACUAUAAUUUAAGCUAGUUCGGAUACAUUGGUGUUUGGUUGAAUGUUGAUAAAUGUACACUGUCCAUUUAAAAAAGAAGAACCAUUGUUAAAAAUACUGCUUUUCGUUUAUGGUUGAAUAUCUGCUGAAUGUA